GAUGGUAUCUAUGAUAUAUACAGUACUCUGUAAAGUCUCUCCUCCUGUCUGUGGUCAGGUAUGAUGGAGUGGACCAGUGUUGGUCUGGUAGUCAUGGUGACAGUGUUAGGACUGGUCCUGGUCCUGUUCUACAGACAGAGGAGAGGAACCAGGAGAACACCACCACCACCACCAGUCUCCUCCAACACACAACCUGACCCUACUGGAGAGGUUGACUGUGUGUAUGAGGAGAUCAGAGAGGCAGACAGACAGACAGACACACUUCCUGUGGUCAUCUCAUCAGUCUACUCUACUGUCAACUCGCCUACCAACUCUUCAACCUACCCUGCUGGUCAAGACUCUACAACCUACCCUGCUGACCACGCCUCUGCAACCUACACUGCUGGCCAAGCAUCUACAACAUACCCUGCUAGCUCCGCCACAGAUCAUCCAGCUUCUCUCAUCUACUCCAAUUUGAAUCUACCC